GCAUCGAUGAAGAGCGCAGCGAAAUGCGAUAAGUAAUGUGAAUUGCAGAAUUCAGUGAAUCAUCGAAUCUUUGAACGCACCUUGCGCUCCAUGGUAUUCCGUGGAGCAUGCCUGUUUGAGUGUCAUGAAUACUUCAACCCUCCUCUUUCUUAAUGAUUGAAGAGGUGUUUGGUUUCUGAGCGCUGCUGGCCUUUACGGUCUAGCUCGUUCGUAAUGCAUUAGCAUCCGCAAUCGAACUUCGGAUUGACUUGGCGUAAUAGACUAUUCGCUGAGGAAUUCUAGUCUUCGGAUUAGAGCCGGGUUGGGUUAAAGGAAGCUUCUAAUCAGAAUGUCUACAUUUUAAGAUUAGAUCUCAAAUCAGGUAGGACUACCCGCUGAACUUAAGCAUAUCAAUAAGCGGAGGA
rnacentral:rRNA from 1 species